UACAGAGGGUGCGAGCGUUGUUCGGAAUUAUUGGGCGUAAAGGGUGCGUAGGUGGGUUGGUAAGUCAGUGGUGAAAUCCCCGAGCUUAACUUGGGAACUGCCAUUGAUACUAUCAGUCUUGAAUACCGUGGAGGUCAGUGGAAUAUGUCAUGUAGCGGUGAAAUGCUUAGAUAUGACAUAGAACACCAAUUGCGAAGGCAGCUGGCUACACGAAUAUUGACACUGAGGCACGAAAGCGUGGGGAUCAAACAGG
rnacentral:rRNA from 1 species